GAGUGAUGAUGUGUAAUCUAUUCCAUUGCUGAAAUGUAGUGUGGAACAUGUUGAACUGAACUC
rnacentral:snoRNA from 1 species